GGGGAAAAUUCUCUACUUGAAGUGGUCCUGUGAUCAGAUGGGUCCACUCAUAAUCCAGAAUAAUUCCCCUCUCUUAAGGUGGUGACGUCGUUCACAUUUUGCCAGGUCAACUCAUUGCUUGCUUCAGCUGGGAAUCUGUUAUGUGUAUUUCUGUUAAGCAAGUUUCCGACUGCCCAGCAGCUGCCGGAUGGAAGUCUGCUAACCAUCUGGGGCUCACCAGCAGGAUUUAUGAGUUUCUGCCCCGGCAAGUUCAGCACAGUGAACUUCAUGCUGAGAGACACCUGUGAGAAGCCCUAGAAAGCUAACCCUCAACUCUGACAAGACCAGUCCACACUCAGCUGCUUGGUGGUCCAGAAAUGCCCGCCUGCUGGAAGAUUGCUUAGUGAUGGAGGUGGUCCCAGGCUCAGCACCAGAGAGAGGAAAAACUCUAAAUCCACGUGCUUCUUAGACUUGUCAGCUGCUGGGCUCUCUGCCCUGAAUUGAUUAAUGAGUAUAGCGUUUGGCAGAGCCAUUCUUGGAAGAAUCUGGAUUGGUUGUGUAU
ensembl:lncRNA